GUGACCACAAGUCUUCUGCAAGUGCUGAAAAGCAGUUUGCUGCCUUUGCAUCACCAGCUGUGCAGACACAUUUAGUACCAGUGCUAGAUGGAUGGUGAGCAGCUGCCUUGUGCCGAGUGGUACCUGGAGGGGAGACUGAACAUGUGGCCUUGGUCAGGAGACAUGCCUGCAUUUCACCUCUUUUGCCUCAUUUUGAUGUGUCCAAAUGCCUCUUCUGUCCUGCCUUGUGUUGGAAGAGCCCCUUCUGGCCGUGCCCACCCCUUCUUCAUGGUGCUUUUGACACCGGCUCUGCCACACUGCUCUGGCUGA
rnacentral:lncRNA from 1 species